rnacentral:rRNA from 1 species
CGUCGCCGCGGUAAUACGGAGGGUGCAAGCGUUAAUCGGAAUUACUGGGCGUAAAGCGCACGCAGGCGGUCUGACAAGUCAGAUGUGAAAUCCCCGGGCUUAACCUGGGAACUGCAUUUGAAACUGUCAGGCUGGAGUCUUGUAGAGGGGGGUGGAAUUCCAGGUGUAGCGGUGAAAUGCGUAGAGAUCUGGAGGAAUACCGGUGGCGAAGGCGGCCCCCUGGACAAAGACUGACGCUCAGGUGCGAAAGCGUGGGGAGCAAACAGGAUUAGAUACCCCGGUAGUCCCUGUCUCUUAUACA